rnacentral:rRNA from 1 species
ACUCCUACGGGAGGCAGCAGUGGGGAAUAUUGCACAAUGGGGAAACCCUGAUGCAGCCAUGCCGCGUGUGUGAAGAAGGCCUUCGGUUGUAAAGCACUUUCAGUAGGGAGGAAGGUAGUGUAGUUAACACCUGCAUUAUUUGACGUUACCUACAGAAGAAGCACCGGCUAACUCCGUGCCAGCAGCCGCGGUAAUACGGAGGGGUGCGAGCGUUAAUCGGAAUUACUGGGCGUAAAGCGCAUGCAGGCGGCCUGUUAAGUCAGAUGUGAAAGCCCGGGGGCUUAACCUCGGAAUUGCAUUUGAAACUGGCAGGCUAGAGUCUUGUAGAGGGGGUAGAAUUUCAGGUGUAGCGGUGAAAUGCGUAGAGAUCUGAAGGAAUACCAGUGGCGAAGGCGGCCCCCUGGACAAAGACUGACGCUCAGAUGCGAAAGCGUGGGGAGCAAACAGGAUUAGAUACCCU